GUUGGUGAGGUAAUGGCUCACCAAGGCGACGACGGGUAGCCGGCCUGAGAGGGUGACCGGCCACACUGGGACUGAGACACGGCCCAGACUCCUACGGGAGGCAGCAGUGGGGAAUAUUGCACAAUGGGCGAAAGCCUGAUGCAGCGACGCCGCGUGAGGGAUGACGGCCUUCGGGUUGUAAACCUCUUUCAGCAGGGAAGAAGCCACAAGUGACGGUACCUGCAGAAGAAGCGCCGGCUAACUACGUGCCAGCAGCCGCGGUAAUACGUAGGGCGCAAGCGUUGUCCGGAAUUAUUGGGCGUAAAGAGCUCGUAGGCGGUUUGUCGCGUCUGCUGUGAAAGCCCGGGGCUUAACCCCGGGUGUGCAGUGGGUACGGGCAGACUAGAGUGCAGUAGGGGAGACUGGAAUUCCUGGUGUAGCGGUGGAAUGCGCAGAUAUCAGGAGGAACACCGAUGGCGAAGGCAGGUCUCUGGGCUGUUACUGACGCUGAGGAGCGAAAGCAUGGGGAGCGAACAGGAUUAGAUACCCUGGUAGUCCAUGCCGUAAACGUUGGGCACUAGGUGUGGGGGACAUUCCACGUUUUCCGCGCCGUAGCUAACGCAUUAAGUGCCCCGCCUGGGGAGUACGGCCGCAAGGCUAAAACUCAAAGGAAUUGACGGGGGCCCGCACAAGCGGCGGAGCAUGCGGAUUAAUUCGAUGCAACGCGAAGAACCUUACCAAGGCUUGACAUAUACCGGAUCGUUCCAGAGAUGGUUCUUCCCCUUUGGGGUCGGUAUACAGGUGGUGCAUGGUUGCCGUCAGCUCGUGUCGGGGAGAUGUUGGGUUAAGUCCCGCAACGAGGGCAACCCUUCGUUCCAUGUUGCCAGCACGUGAUGGUGGGGACUCAUGGGAGAAUUGCCGGGGUCAACUCCGAAGGAAGGUGGGGGAUGAACGUCAAAUCAUCAAGGCCCCUUAAUGUCUUGGGGUUUCACGAAUGCUACAAAUGGCCGGGACCAAAGGGUUGCGAAACCUUUGAGGGGGGAGUUAAUCCCAAAAAAGCCGGGUUCCAGUUCGGGAUUGAGGGGUCGGCACUCGCCC
rnacentral:rRNA from 1 species